rnacentral:lncRNA from 1 species
CUAGAUAUUAAUUGCCUAAAGGAAAACCACCUCAAUUUUUUUUUUUUUAGGAGUAGUAUUUCUAAAGAAAAUUCUAACGAAAAUAUAAAAACGUAAACUAUCUUCUUCUUUUUUUGGAUUUUUGAGUUACAACACACUUUUUCAAAUAUAAAUCUCCUUAAGCAACUCCUGAAUGAGCAAUCCUGACUAGAUGAUCUCGGGGUAUCUGUCAUGCUCAAACUCCGGUAAGUAGAUCCACACCUGUAUGAAAAAAAACUAAAACCAACACUAGGUGAGACAAUAACACUCCCUAUUGGACGCAUGCAAGACAUGAUUGAGGCUAUUUUUGCAAAAUGGCUUAUGUGACCAAAAGGUGGCUAGAAAUGCAAAAUUUGGCUAAGACCCCGCAAAGACAAGAACCUAAGAUUCACUAGGAAGACUGGACUCUAUGUGGGUUACCUACGUAUCACGCCCCGAAAGACGAGAAUCAUGUAUGCGUAGUUCGGGUAGAUUGGAUACGGGCGGGAAUUACAAAAAUAACUAAUUUAGAGAAAAAUAUUUUUUUUUGUCUUUUUUUAAAAAAAAUGAUAAAACAUGUAAACUCUUUUUGGAUUUUUUUUUUCUUUUUUUUUUGAUUUUCGGAAAAUGAUGAAAAGUGCAAAACCUUUUGUUGAAUUUUUCAAGUUUUUUUUUCCUUAACAAAAUAUGACAGAAAACAUAAUCGAGCCCUACUUGCCUUAUUUUUCACACUUCACCCUCUCUCUUUUUUCUUCUCUUUUUUUUUCUUUUGCCCUCAACUAUCAUUGGUCCGCCAAAUGAUCCUUUUACCCUUGAAAAAAUGCAACAUGUAGCACAUAGGAUGCAUCAAGAUGGUCUGUUAUUCUGGGUAUACUUGUCUUAGACCGACCCAACCCUUGUGUUGAGUCCCCAAAGUCAGAUGCACAUGAUGCAACAAACGUUCCUACUAGGGAUCCGUCAUGAGGCUAUGUUAUUCUAGGUUUAAAACCUGGGUUUAUUUGUUCUAAACCUGGUUUACCCAAGCGGACAGCUCGAGCCGAGGGGGAGCAGUGUACCGGGAAUAUAGAAGCUUCACCGGCUUUGCAACUUGUCCGAACCUCAUUCUAAAAUUGGGAUAUGACUCUAACAGAAGAGAAGUUACACGAAGUGCACCUUAAUCAGAUGAUUUAGAAGACUUAGAGAGAGGAGGGUUUCGCACCAAUUUAUAUACAGUUCAACAAUAUCAAAGCAGUAAAAAGCAGCAUUUAGCACAUUAGGCCCAAACAUGUAAAUAAAACCAGAUAAUAAAUAAAGCCAAAUAUAACAAUUAUUCUAAGCUCGAAUUCUUGAACCCUGAACCAGAGAUUCUGGGUUCUUGUCCCCAGCAGAGUUGCCAGAGCUGUCACACCUCCUUUCUCCUACCCCCGUAGGGGUAUAAGAGAGUUUCUCCAAUUUAAGUGACAAUCAAAACGGGAUUUUUUUGUUUAAAAUUCAGAGUCGCCACUUGGGAUAAUUUAUGGUGUCCCAAGUCACCGGUUUUAAAUCCCGAAUCGAGGAAAGAUUGACUCUGUUUUAGUCCGCGAACACAGAAAUUGGGGUAAGGAAUUCUGCUAACCCGGGAGAAGGUGUUAGGCAUUCUCGGGUUCCGUGGUUCUAGCACGGUCGCUCAACUAUUAUUAUUGGCCUAAUUAUCUGAUUUUAAAACACUUUUAAACCUAUGUGCAUUUUUAACUUUAACCCCGCUUUUAUUGAUUUAAGGAAUUAUUUCAAGGUUAUUUAAAACACAUCGCAAGCCACGCUACAUGAAAUGUACCCGUGAUUCACGACACGUUCAAUUUAACCUUGUUGGAAAUUAGAAUCGGGUCACAUGAAAUGUACCCGAAUUUUAGUAAUUACAAAUCAUAACUACGUCACGGGAACCACACCCGUAACCAUGAUAAUUAUUUAAUUAAUGCGCCUGAAGAAAACUAUGAUAUUUAUGAAUAUUAACGGCCUAAGCGUGCUCCUAACGAUCCAAAAUCACAUCAAUAAGCAAUAUCUAAACAAUAUACAACUCCAAUCGUUACAAAAUUUAGUUGAAAUCGUUACUCAAUCCAAUAUCACUUUGGUCUAAUUCACUGUCAUUUUAGCCCAUACUUAUCGUUUUGGUACAAAUUACAAAUAAAUUAUUCACUUUCAAAACAAAUUACUAAGUUGCAAUAGUUUUGAAAAAAUAGCACCUCCCUUUACAUGACUAAAACACAUUAUGGUUCAUAAUAAAAUCAAACUAGCAGACUAAUUUCAAACAAGACAGAGUAAACAAACUAGCAAAUAACUCAACAUUUUUAGAGGUCUUAAACUAAUUUCAAACAAGACACAAUAAACAAACCAAACUGGUAGACUAAUUAAUCAGAACAACUAAGGCAUACCCAACAAAAUUGAACAAGAAAAACUCACUCAAAAUGUUCAAACAACUAUGUAAAGGGAAAUGAGAUGGACCUCUAUUACUGUAAUUUGUUCUCAAACCAAUAAAAUGGAUUUCCAGUCGCAAUGGUCGCGAGUAGCUACAAUUGUUCAGGUGGUAUUAAACAGAACCCGACUUGUCAAACAAAACUUGACCACGAACCGGGACCGUCGAUCGGAACCUUGACAGCAAACCUCGAGCGAACCUCUGUCUUGCUCCGAUAACUGUUUUCAUGGCUAAUCCGCUACUGAAGCUAUGGUGUGUUCAUAGUAACCUUUGAAGAAUAGUGAAGGGAUGACGAUGGAUGGUGUUGAAGGGGUUGCUGUGAUGGCGUCGCGACUGAGUGAGAGACAGUAAUGGGAGGAACUGGAGGGGUCUGUUUUCGCUAGUGUAAGGUCGGAUCGUUCGGCUGCUGCUUCUCUUUUAAUCUCUGUGUGUUUUUGUUAAUGAAGAUGGUGAAGAAGCAGAACGGAUGGGAGGGCCUGAAUCUUGGCUGAAGAGAGAUUCCUUUAGUCUCUAGUGUUGAAAUGGCUGACUAUCGAGACUGAGUUUUGCUAGGGUUCUUCUAUGUCUGCUUCUUUGUGUGUGAGGAAGAUGAUACUUAAGGUGUGUCUAUAUUCAAAAUCAGAAAUGGUUGUGUGUGUUGGACCUUCUAGGGUCUUUUUGUUAAGUUUCCAUAAGGAAGAAGAGAGCUCCAGGUUGUCUUCUAUUGUGUGCUAAAGCUUAAGGCUUUUGAUCCAAGAUCCUCAUGGAAAACGGCGGAUGUUGUGUAUUCUUUUCCUAGGGUUCGCUCCUUAGGUCUCUAUAAAGAAGAAAGGUUUGAUGGAGAGUGGGGGUCUCUCUAUUGUGUGUUGCGGCUGAGUAAAGUCUAGGGUCUAGGUUUUUUUUUCUUGUAUAUUAUGCUAAAGGAG